rnacentral:rRNA from 1 species
UAGGGAAUAUUGCUUAAUGGGCGAAAGCCUGAAGCAGCAACGCCGCGUGGACGAAGAAGGCCUUCGGGUUGUAAAGCUCUUUUAUAUGGGAUGAGGAAGGACAGUACCAUAUGAAUAAGUCCCGGCUAACUACGUGCCAGCAGCCGCGGUAAAACGUAGGAGACGAGCGUUAUCCGGAUUUACUGGGCGUAAAGGGCGUGUAGGAGGCAAUACAAGUUGGAUGUAAAAGCUCUGGGCUAAACUGGGAGAGGGCGUUCAAAACUGUAGAGCUAGAGGAACGCAGAGGAAGAUGGAACUCCGGGUGUAGUGGUGGAAUGCGUAGAUAUCCGGAAGAACACCAGAGGCGAAAGCGAUCUACUGGGCCUAAACAGACGCUGAGGCGCGAAAGCCAGGGGAGCAAACG